rnacentral:rRNA from 1 species
CUACGGGUUGCUGCAGUGAGGAAUAUUGCACAAUGGGGGGAACCCUGAUGCAGCAACGCCGCGUGGAGGAUGACGCAUUUCGGUGUGAAAACUCCUUUUAUAUGUCAAGAAAAUGACGGUAGCAUAUGAAUAAGCACCGGCUAACUCCGUGCCAGCAGCCGCGGUAAUACGGAGGGUGCAAGCGUUACUGGAGUCACUGGGCGUAAAGGACGCGUAGGCGGGUUGGAAAGUCAGGUGUGAAAUCCUACAGCUUAACUGUAGAACUGCACUUGAAACUUCUAAUCUAGAGUAUGGGAGGGGGAGAUGGAAUUAGUGGUGUAGGGGUAAAAUCCGUAGAUAUCACUAGGAAUACCUAAAGCGAAGGCGAUCUCCUGGAACAUUACUGACGCUAAGGCGUGAAAGCGUGGGGAACAAACAGGAUUAGAUACCCGCGUAGUC